rnacentral:rRNA from 1 species
ACCCGCUGAACUUAAGCAUAUCAAUAAGCGGAGGAAAAGAAACUAACAAGGAUUCCCCUAGUAACUGCGAGUGAAGCGGGAAAAGCUCAAAUUUAAAAUCUGGCGGUCUUUGGUCGUCCGAGUUGUAAUCUAGAGAAGUGUUACCCGCGCUGGACCGUGUACAAGUCUCCUGGAAUGGAGCGUCAUAGAGGGUGAGAAUCCCGUCUCUGACACGGACUCCCAGGGCUUUGUGGUACGCUCUCAAAGAGUCGAGUUGUUUGGGAAUGCAGCUCAAAAUGGGUGGUAAAUUCCAUCUAAAGCUAAAUAUUGGCGAGAGACCGAUAGCGAACAAGUACCGUGAGGGAAAGAUGAAAAGAACUUUGGAAAGAGAGUUAAACAGUACGUGAAAUUGCUGAAAGGGAAACGCUUGAAGUCAGUCGCGUUGGCCAGGGAUCAGCCUCGCAUCUCGCGUGGUGUACUUUCUGGUUGACGGGUCAGCAUCAAUUUCGACCGCUGGAAAAAGUCUUGGGGAAUGUAGCAGCUCCGGCUGUGUUAUAGCCUCUUGUCACAUACAUCGGUUGGGAUUGAGGAACUCAGCACGCCGCAAGGCCGGGUUUCGACCACGUCCGUGCUUAGGAUGCUGGCAUAAUGGCUUUAAGCGACCCGUCUUGAAACACGG